AACGAACGCUGGCGGCGUGGAUUAGGCAUGCAAGUCGAACGCGAAAGAGGGAGCAAUCCCUCGAGUAGAGUGGCGAACGGGUGAGUAACGCGUGAAGAACCUGCCUUCGACAGGGGGAUAACACUCCCAACGGGGUGCUAAUACCGCAUGAGACCACGGGGUCGCAUGGCCCUGAGGUCAAAGGUGGCCUCUAUUUAUAAGCUACCGGUCGAAGAUGGCUUCGCGUCCCAUUAGCUAGUUGGCGGUGUAAGAGACCACCAAGGCGACGAUGGGUAGCUGGUCUGAGAGGAUGGUCAGCCACACUGGGACUGAGAUACGGCCCAGACUCCUACGGGAGGCAGCAGUCGAGAGGCUUCGGCAAUGGGGGAAACCCUGACCGAGCGACGCCGCGUGGAGGAUGAAGGCCCUUGGGUUGUAAACUCCUUUUGUUGGGGAAGAAAUGCGAUCAGGUGAACAAUCUGGUCGUUUGACGGUACCCGACGAAUAAGCUCCGGCUAACUCCGUGCCAGCA
rnacentral:rRNA from 1 species